rnacentral:rRNA from 1 species
CCUGCCGUCUACUCUUGGCCAGCCUUCUGAAAGGAAGAUUAAUCCAGGAUGGGAUCAUGAGUUCACAUGUCCGCAUGAUUAAAGGUAUUUUCCGGUAGACGAUGGGGAUGCGUUCCAUUAGAUAGUAGGCGGGGUAACGGCCCACCUAGUCAACGAUGGAUAGGGGUUCUGAGAGGAAGGUCCCCCACAUUGGAACUGAGACACGGUCCAAACUCCUACGGGAGGCAGCAGUGAGGAAUAUUGGUCAAUGGGCGAUGGCCUGAACCAGCCAAGUAGCGUGAAGGAUGACUGCCCUAUGGGUUGUAAACUUCUUUUAUAAAGGAAUAAAGUCGGGUAUGCAUACCCGUUUGCAUGUACUUUAUGAAUAAGGAUCGGCUAACUCCGUGCCAGCAGCCGCGGUAAUACGGAGGAUCCGAGCGUUAUCCGGAUUUAUUGGGUUUAAAGGGAGCGUAGAUGGAUGUUUAAGUCAGUUGUGAAAGUUUGCGGCUCAACCGUAAAAUUGCAGUUGAUACUGGAUGUCUUGAGUGCAGUUGAGGCGGGCGGAAUUCGUGGUGUAGCGGUGAAAUGCUUAGAUAUCACGAAGAACUCCGAUUGCGAAGGCAGCCUGCUAAGCUGCAACUGACAUUGAGGCUCGAAAGUGUGGGUAUCAAACAGGAUUAGAUACCCUGGUAGUCCACACGGUAAACGAUGAAUACUCGCUGUUUGC